rnacentral:rRNA from 1 species
CCCUUAGAUGUUCUGGGCGGCCCGCGCACUACAUUGGCACUGGCAACAAGAUCCUAGAUCUGGUAUUUCGGGGUAUUCUACCAACUGGUGUCGUGACUGGGAUUAACCCCUGCAAUUAUUGGUUAUGAACGAGGAAUUCCUUGUAAUCACGGUUUAUCAACCCGUGUUGAAUGCGUCCCUGCCCUUUGUACACACCGCCCGUCGCUCCUACCGAUGAAUCGUCCGGUGAAGUUCAUGGAGUGGCGGCUGCUCCAGCUGUUUUCGAAGUGAAAUGGACCUCAUGAUUUAGAGGAAGGAGAAGUCGUAACA